rnacentral:lncRNA from 9 species
GACUAGUCCAUCAGAUAAACUUCUUAGCAGCUGACUGACUUUAUGGGGGAAGAAUGCAAAAGAGAGCUGAUCAAAGAGGGUGACAUACAGAUGCAUCUCCUAGUCCUGGAAUGGCUCAGACCCCUUCUGAUCCAGCAGGUACCAAGUUUCUGCUUCCAUUUCUUCCACGGUCUUCAUCCUUCCACAGCCAUCAUGUGAGCAAACACAGAGUGCAGGUUAGCUUGAAGUUCAGCGCUGCCUGCUCUGCAGAAAUGUUCCAAGCUGACCUGUCCCUCUCUCUCAACAAUGUCAUCUCACAGAUAAAUCAGAGCCUAAGAAUCAGAAGAAAAAGCAACUCCAGAACUUGGCAUUUUCUCAGCUUAUCACAAUGUGCUACAGAAUCAGUGGGUUGGAGACCAGCUUGUGCCACUGAAGAGCUGUGUCCUGGGCUGCAGGAGAAGAUACAACAUGAUGAGCAUCACUUUCCACAAGUCUCACUGUAGCUGGCAAGCCACCAGCCUUUCAGCACCAUCUCAUCAGGAUACAAGCUGACCAAGACCAAGAUAACAUCAUUUAGAUUUAUAUUUUCAAAGCAGUGAAAUGUGUAAAAAAUAGAAAAGAAAUAUGAUCUUCUAUAGUUAUCCUAGGGCCACUCCUAUUUAAAGCAAAGUUUUUGAGGAGGAUGACGUCAGCCUCAUAGUGACAUGAGUCAUUCCUUUUUUCUCUUCUUUUUAAUUUACAACUAACCAGACAUCCUUAACCCAUCAAAAGUGCCUCUGCAUACUACACUAAGACACCGGGAGAUCCGCUCACCUGUCGAAAGUGGGUGGAUCGGAGCUCAGAGAAGGAUGUGGAUCCAAGGGAGUCAUAGCCUGCCCACCCAAACUUGCCACUGAAAGGAAAAAAAGGUAAUCUGGAGAGCACAAAACUGGGCACUCCUGGGGGAGUAUCUGUGGAAGCCCACCUGACAGGAGAACUCGGUGGGCCAUCGAGCAGGAUGGAGACAGUUUAGAGGCACAGAAAAAGGAAGAACAGGCUAAGGCAGCCUCACAACCCAGACCAAUGCUGCAACAAGCUAGGGCUGUUGUGGUGGCGGGGGCUACCUCUCUGGCAGAGGAGGUGGAAAGUAAAAGUGUGUAGCCUGGAGAGUCAGUUCAGUCAGAGAAACCAAAAUUGUGUUAUAGCACCAUCUUCUGGAAAGCAAAAGAAAGUUUUCUAAUUGACAGACUAUUGAACUAUUAGAACCAAAGUAAACAAAGCCUUCCUUCGUAAAUAAGAAAGGUAUUUGCUACUUCACAUGCAAAAGCACAGGCACAUUUCAUCAGUCACAAUGAAAAAUUGCAGUAGUAGGGUAUCACAAAAAGAAAACGACAAUUUGCCAGUGACAGAACUCAAAUACAUGAAAUAUUAUGAUCUAGCUGAUAAAAAUUCAAAAUAGCUGUUAUGAAGAAAUUCAGCAAGCUACAGGAAAACUCAAAAAGGCAAGUUAAUGAAUGCAGAAAUAAAAUUUAUGAGCAGAGGGAGUACUUUAUGAAAGAGACUGAAAUUUUAAAAAAGAACCAAACAGAAAUUCUGGAGCUGAAGAACCCAGUGAAUGAGAUGAAGGAAGGAUGUGUUAAAAAACACUGGUAAUAGGGCAGACCUGAUGGAAGAGAGAAUAAAUGACCUGGAGGAUUGAAAUUUAGAAUGAUUCAGAUGGAAGAGGAGAGAGAACUAAGAUUUCUAAGAAGUGAAGAAACCCUGCAAGUGAUACCAGUCUCUGUUGGGAAAGCCUAUACAAGAUUAAUGGAUGACUAUAGUUAAUAACACUGUAUUGCAUAUUUGGAAGUUUCUAAUGAGUAAAUCUUUAAAAAGUCUUCAUCAAAAGGAAAAAAAUGUAUCUAUUUAAAAGGACAGAUGAUAACUAGACUUAUUGUGGUAACCAUUUUGCAGUAUAUAUAAAUAUCAAAUCACUAUGCUGUCUAUCUGACACUAAAAAAAUCAUAUGUCAACUAUACCUCCAUAAAAAAUUUUAAUAAAAAUAAAUGAAAUUAGG